rnacentral:lncRNA from 1 species
CCCACACAACCCAUGGCUUACCCGCAAGCGUGUGAGAAGGCACCCGCAUGUUAAGCUCGUGUAUGUGUGUGGCCAAGGCAUUACGCACACCCUGCAAGAGCACAGAAGUGUGCAGGAGAAGCUCUGCAUGUGUGCAGCAACACACAUGCAUGCAAACAGCUGAUCGCACGCCUAGAGACCUGUGCAUGCAUAACCCAUACCCGGAUGACAGACCUGCCCG